CGCGGGAUGGAGCAGUUCGGUAGCUCGUCGGGCUCAUAACCCGGAGGUCGUUGGUUCGAAUCCAACUCCCGCAA
rnacentral:tRNA from 1 species